rnacentral:rRNA from 1 species
GAUUAAGUUAUUAAGGGCGCACGGUGGAUGCCUUGGCACUAGAAGCCGAUGAAGGACGUUACUAACGACGAUAUGCUUUGGGGAGCUGUAAGUAAGCUUUGAUCCAGAGAUUUCCGAAUGGGGAAACCCAGCACGAGUUAUGUCGUGUUAUCUGCAUGUGAAUACAUAGCAUGCAAG